rnacentral:misc_RNA from 1 species
AGGUUUCCUAGAGGUUGCAAAGGUUUUCCCAGCAGGGCAAGGCAAGAGAUUCAAAGAGAUAGUGAUAAAAAUUCGUUUAGUUAUCUUUUUGGGGACAUUGACAGGGUGUUCCUUACUUGCUAAGCUCCUCAAGAGAACAGUGAAGUUUUGAGCAGCACUUUCAUUGUUAUAUGCAGGUAAGUUGGGCAAAGGGAUAGAUUUAGGAGGAGAAUAUUUGCCUUCAUAUUCAAUAAUUGCCUUGACGCUGGUGUUAUCAAAUUCUGCAAAACUAUCAAAAUAAGGAGUAGAGACUAUGUAAUAUUUGCUAGGAGAUUGAUUUGCUGUGACCAAAACGUCCAUUGUUUGACCUGGAGUUAUAAACAAGUAAUCAGUGGUAAAAGGUUUGGUGUAUGCUCCAUCUGAUCCAACAACUGUGAGCUUGUGGUUUGCGAUGCCAAAGAAUUGUUCGUCGUUCAUCACAGCAUUCACUAUCCUCAGAAGAUAAGUCUUGCCAUAGCUAAACAGCAUAUGAAAUGUUUUUCCUGCAACGGGUAGGUAGAAGAUGACCAAUUAAGUAAUGCCAAAAUAUACGCAAUUCAUGCCAAAUUAUCGUGUCCUUUCUUUCUUUUCAAAAUAAAAUGAUAAAUUCUUCCUUGGAAGUGACGCAUUAUGUU